rnacentral:tRNA from 1 species
GCCGACAUAGCUCAAUUGGCAGAGCAGUUGCUUUGUAAGCAUCAGGUUGAGGGUUCAAUUCCCCCUGUCGGCU